AUACGUAGGUGGCGAGCGUUAUUCGGAUUUACUGGGCGUAAAGGGUCCGUAGGGGGAUACAUAAGUUUGAUGUGAAAUUUCGAGGCUCAACCUCGAACCUGCAUCGAAAACUGUGUAUCUAGAAUUCGCGAGAGGUAAGUGGAAUUUGUGGUGUAGCGGUGGAAUGCGUAGAUAUCACAAGGAACAUCAAAGGCGAAAGCAGCUUACUGGGCCGAUAUUGACCCUGAGGGACGAAAGCUAAGGUAGCGAAAAGGAUUAGAAACCCUAGUAGUCC
rnacentral:rRNA from 1 species